rfam:Zootermopsis nevadensis contig27940, whole genome shotgun sequence.
UCUUGUUUAUGAUGGUUCAACUAUAAACCAAAAUUGUUGGUGGGUUGAACCUGAUAAGGCUCAUGC